GUUUUCUGGCCUUGAUCGAGCGAAGUUUUUCUUACUCCGUGCUUUGUCUCCGCGAAUCGUACUGCUCUCUAGUAGACAACGUAGCACGCAAAUCACUGCCUCGUAGCCAUUUCGUCAACACCAGGGUGACUGUACUACUUGCUCGAUCGAUAGACGUAGCGAGCUGCUGUGCGCUGCCUUGCCACAAAAGGCAUAGAAGUGAGCAUUCCAAGUUAAAAACAGUGCGUAUUUUCGUUUACGUUGAUGGAACGACUUAAAUUUUUCUUGAAUUAUGUAGAGGCAUUUGUCAUUGACUUGCCACCAAAAUCCCAAACUAUCAUAUUACGGAAGAACACGCCAUUUUUUGGUGCUCUCUACACUCUGCUGUACCAAGAAAGCGACAUGGAGGCUGCCCCCCAUGCGAAUACAUACUGGGCGACAGAAGCGCCAUGGGAUGAAUCUCACCCUAUCGGAAGAUAAUAGGCAUGACCUUGGCCCUCCAUGCUGCAAUUUUUUUCUG